GCAGACACAUUCCAGCCAAUCAGCAGCAGACCCUCUCUCCCAAACCCUCCCACCUCCUGGACAGCAUCCAUUUUGAAGCUGCAUUCUUAGUGAGCUGUCCAGGAGAUGGGAGGGUCUGGGAGGGAGGGUCUGCUGCUGAUUGGCUGGAAUGUGUCUG
rnacentral:miRNA from 1 species